rnacentral:rRNA from 1 species
AACGAACGCUGGCGGCGUGCCUAACACAUGCAAGUCGAGCAAGAAAGUCCCUUCGGGGGCGAGUAGAGCGGCGGACGGGUGAGUAAUACGUGGGUAAUCUACCCUCGAGCCUGGAAUAACUCCGCGAAAGCGGGGCUAAUACCGGAUAAGACCACACGACACAUGUCGCGGGGUAGAAGGUGGCUUGUAUUCGUACACGCUAUCACUUGAGGAUGAGCCCAUGGCCUAUCAGCUUGUUGGUGAGGUAAGAGCUUACCAAGGCUAUGACGGGUAGCUGGUCUGAGAGGACGACUAGCCACACGUGGGACUGAGACACGGCCCCAGACCUCCGUACGGGAGGCAGCAGGUGGGGAAUAGUUGGGCAAGUGGG